GAACGAUUCUUGGGUGCUUGCAUCCAAGUUUAGUGGCGGACUGGUGAGUAACGCGUGAGUAACCUGCCUCUAAAUGGGGGACAACGGAAAGAAAUUUCCGCUAAUACCGCAUAACAUUGCCUGCCGGCAUCGGCGGGCAAUCAAAGAUUUAUUGUUUAGAGAUGGACUCGCGUCCGAUUAGAUAGUUGGCGGGGUAACGGCCCACCAAGUCGACGAUCGGUAGCCGGACUGAGAGGUUGAACGGCCACAUUGGGACUGAGAUACGGCCCAGACUCCUACGGGAGGCAGCAGUGGGGGAUAUUGCACAAUGGAGGAAACUCUGAUGCAGCGACGCCGCGUGAAGGAAGAAGGUUUUCGGAUUGUAAACUUCUGUUAGCGGGGAAAAAAAUGAUGGUACCCGCAGAGAAAGCCACGGCUAACUACGUGCCAGCAGCCGCGGUAAUACGUAGGUGGCGAGCGUUGUCCGGAAUUACUGGGUGUAAAGGGUGUGUAGGCGGGGCGAUAAGUUUGGAGUGAAAUGCUGUGGCUUAACCACGGAACUGCUUUGAAAACUGUCGUUCUUGAGUGAUGCAGGGGCAAGCGGAAUUCCCGGUGUAGCGGUGGAAUGCGUAGAUAUCGGGAGGAAUACCGGUGGCGAAGGCGGCUUGCUGGACAUUAACUGACGCUGAGGCACGAAAGUGUGGGGAGCAAACAGGAUUAGAUACCCUGGUAGUCCACACCGUAAACGAUGAUUACUAGAUGUUGGCGGAUUGAACCCGUCAGUGUCGCAGUUAACACAAUAAGUAAUCCACCUGGGGAGUACGACCGCAAGGUUGAAACUCAAAGGAAUUGACGGGGGCCCGCACAAGCAGUGGAGUAUGUGGUUUAAUUCGAAGCAACGCGAAGAACCUUACCAGGGCUUGACAUAGCAGUGAAUUGCGCAGAGAUGCAUAAGUCCCUUUGGGACGCUGUUACAGGUGGUGCAUGGUUGUCGUCAGCUCGUGUCGUGAGAUGUUGGGUUAAGUCCCGCAACGAGCGCAACCCUUACUGUUAGUUGCUACAUUUAGUUGAGCACUCUGACGGGACUGCCGUUGACAAAACGGAGGAAGGCGGGGAUGAGGUCAAAUCAUCAUGCCCUUUAUGUCCUGGGCUACACACGUACUACAAUGGCGAUUAACAGAGGGAUGCGACUUCGCGAGGAGAGGCAAACCCCUAAAAAUCGUCUCAGUUCAGAUUGCAGGCUGCAACUCGCCUGUAUGAAGAUGGAAUUGCUAGUAAUCGCAGGUCAGCAUACUGCGGUGAAUACGUUCCCGGGC
rnacentral:rRNA from 1 species